AUUGAACGCUGGCGGCAUGCUUUACACAUGCAAGUCGAACGGUAACAGGUUAAGCUGACGAGUGGCGAACGGGUGAGUAAUGCAUCGGAACGUGCCCGAUCGUGGGGGAUAACGCAGCGAAAGCUGCGCUAAUACCGCAUACGAUCUGAGGAUGAAAACGGGGGACCGUAAGGCCUCGCGCGAUCGGAGCGGCCGAUGUCAGAUUAGGUAGUUGGUGGGGUAAAGGCUCACCAAGCCGACGAUCUGUAGCUGGUCUGAGAGGACGACUAGCCACACUGGGACUGAGACACGGCCCAGACUCCUACGGGAGGCAGCAGUGGGGAAUUUUGGACAAUGGGCGAAAGCCUGAUCCAGCAAUGCCGCGUGCAGGAAGAAGGCCUUCGGGUUGUAAACUGCUUUUGUACGGAGCGAAAAGGCUCUCUCUAAUACAGGGGGCUCAUGACGGUACCGUAAGAAUAAGCACCGGCUAACUACGUGCCAGCAGCCGCCGUAA
rnacentral:rRNA from 1 species